UAGGGAAUCUUCCGCAAUGGGCGAAAGCCUGACGGAGCAACGCCGCGUGAGUGAUGAAGGUCUUUGGAUCGUAAAACUCUGUUAUUAGGGAAGAACAAAUGUGUAAGCAACUAUGCACGUCUUGACGGUACCUAAUCAGAAAGCCACGGCUAACUACGUGCCAGCAGCCGUGGUAAUACGUAGGUGGCAAGCGUUAUCCGGAAUUAUUGGGCGUAAAGCGCGCGUAGGCGGUUUUUUAAGUCCGAUGUGAAAGCCCGCGGCCCAACCGUGGAGGGGCAUUGGAAACUGGAAAACUAGAGGGCAGAAGGGGAAAGAGGAAUUCCAUGUGUAGCGGUGAAAUGCGCAGAGAUAGGGAGGAACACCAGUGGCGAAGGCGACAUUCUGGUCUGUAUCUGACGCUGAUGUGCGAAAGCGUGGGGAUCAAACAGG
rnacentral:rRNA from 1 species